AAUGAACGCUGGCGGCGCGCCUAAUACAUGCAAGUCGAGCGAGAAGACGUAGCAAUACGUUUGUAAAGCGGCGAACGGGUGAGGAAUACAUGGGUAACCUACCCUCGAGUGGGGAAUAACUAGCCGAAAGGUUAGCUAAUACCGCGUACGCUCCUUGGACUUCGGUUCAGGGAGGAAAGCGAUACCGUGGGUAUCGCGCUCUUGGUUGGGCUCAUGUCCUAUCAGCUUGUUGGUGAGGAACGGCUCACCAAGGCUUCGACGGGUAGCUGGUCUGAGAGGACGAUCAGCCACACUGGCACUGCGACACGGGCCAGACUCCUACGGGAGGCAGCAGUAAGGAAUAUUGCGCAAUGGGCGAAAGCCUGACGCAGCGACGCCGCGUGGGGGAUGAAGGUCUUCGGAUUGUAAACCCCUUUCGGGAGGGAAGAUGGAACGAGCAAUCGUUCGGACGGUACCUCCAGAAGCAGCCACGGCUAACUUCGUGCCAGCAGCCGCCGUAAC
rnacentral:rRNA from 1 species